CGUAUAUUAAAGUUGUUGCAGUUAAAAAGCUCGUAGUUGGAUUUGUGGUGACAGUUGUGGUCCAUUUUUGGUACUAACGAUUGUUGCCAUCCUUGGGUGGAACCUGUGUGGCAUUAACUUGUCGUGCAGGGGAUGCCCAUCGUUUACUGUGAAAAAAUCAGCGCGUUCAAAGCAGGCUUAUGCCGUGUGAAUGUCUUAGCAUGGAAUAAUAAGAUAGGACCUUGGUGCUAUUUUGUUGGUUUGCGUACCGAGGUAAUGAUUAAUAGGGACAGUUGGGGG
rnacentral:rRNA from 1 species